AGAAUGAACGCUGGCGGCAUGCCUAACACAUGCAAGUCGAACGAGACCUUCGGGUCUAGUGGCGCACGGGUGCGUAACGCGUGGGAAUCUGCCCUUGGGUUCGGAAUAACAGUUAGAAAUGACUGCUAAUACCGAAUGAUGUCGUAAGACCAAAGAUUUAUCGCCCAGGGAUGAGCCCGCGUAGGGUUAGCUAGUUGGUGUGGUAAAGGCGCACCAAGGCGACGAUCCUUAGCUGGUCUGAGAGGAUGAUCAGCCACACUGGGACUGAGACACGGCCCAGACUCCUACGGGAGGCAGCAGUGGGGAAUAUUGGACAAUGGGCGAAAGCCUGAUCCAGCAAUGCCGCGUGAGUGAUGAAGGCCUUAGGGUUGUAAAGCUCUUUACCCGGGAUGAUAAUGACAGUACCGGGAGAAUAAGCUCCGGCUAACUCCGUGCCAGCAGCCGC
rnacentral:rRNA from 1 species